ACUGCUCAGUAACACGUGGACAAUCUAACCUAUGGAGAGGGAUAAUCCCGGGAAACUGGGGCUAAUACCUCAUAGACUAUGAAUGCUGGAAUGCGUCGUAGUUCAAAGGUCCGCCGCCAUAGAAUGGGUCUGCGGCCGAUUAGGUAGUUGUUGGGGUAACGGCCCAACAAGCCUGUAAUCGGUACGGGUUGUGGGAGCAAGAGCCCGGAGAUGGAUUCUGAGACACGAAUCCAGGCCCUACGGGGCGCAGCAGGCGCGAAAACUUUACAAUGCGGGAAACCGUGAUAAGGGAACUCCGAGUGCCCGUUAAAUCGGGCUGUCCAUCAGUUUAAAAAACUGGUGAAGAAAGGGCCGGGCAAGACCGGUGCCAGCCGCCGCGGUAAUACCGGCGGCUCGAGUGGUGGCCACUAUUACUGGGCUUAAAGCGUUCGUAGCUGGUUUGUUAAGUCUCUGGGGAAAUCUUCCGGCUUAACCGGAAGGCGUCUCAGGGAUACUGGCAGACUAGGGACCGGAAGAGGUGAGGGGUACUCCAGGGGUAGGAGUGAAAUCCUGUAAUCCUUGGGGGACCACCUGUGGCGAAGGCGCCUCACCAGGACGGCUCCGACAGUGAGGGACGAAAGCUGGGGGAGCAAACCGGAUUAGAUACCCGGGUAGUCCCAGCCGUAAACGAUGUGCGUUAGGUGUAUCGGUGACCACGAGUCACCGAGGUGCCGAAGAGAAAUCGUGAAACGUACCGCCUGGGAAGUACGGUCGCAAGGCUGAAACUUAAAGGAAUUGGCGGGGGAGCAC
rnacentral:rRNA from 1 species